UUCCUACUUACCUGUAUAAAUUCCCCCAGACUCUGGCUGGAGCAGAAUCUUCUAGAAUUCCUGGGUACUGAAGCAUAACCUCUCCUCCAGCAGAGGCUCUGAAGACCAGCACUGAGAGCUGCUGGAGACGUCCUCCUCUCCAUUCCUCCAGGUGUAACUACAGGACUUCAUGUGCUUAGUCGGGGUAACGGAAGAAUCACAUCCUGCAGAAUUCUUCCAAGUCCCCAGGCAGGACAAGUGUACAGCCUUACAGAACUCUGCAGUGGCUGUCACCAAGGGUCUCUUUGCUUCCGGCUGGGACACAGUGACAUUCCUCACACCUGAAGAAUGAGGUCUCUGUGGGCAGGGAAGAGGAACUUCUGUGGGGUCUUUCCUACAAUAAGCCUCCCCAGGGAGGCCUCAGCAGCCUCUCCCACUCUUCAUCCUCGAGGAACACAAUAGAGGAUGAUGUCACCAUCAAUCUAGUCUUUUCCCCCUGCAUCACAUAUCAAGAGUGUGGGCACUCAGUGAGGUGCCCCAAUUCUCUCUCUAGAACGCCAAGCCCUAGGGACAGGCUGAGGCCCUGAAAAUCCCCAGGAAAGGCCACCUCAGCCAGGCUGAGGAGGGGGAGGGGUGAGCUGCUGCCAGAUCCUGAGGGGCCCCAACAGGGCCGCAUGACUCAUUCCCUGUUUCUGUCCACUCUGGUCUGAGCGCCUUGGCCCAGGGGCCUCUAGGAGGUUGUAACACAGGUUGGCCCCUCGCCCAUCAGGGCUCAGCAGACAAAAAUUAAAGAUCUCACCCCUCAGGAACUCACGCAGACAGCGGAGGCUGCUCUGUGCUCUGCCUCACAGACCAGACCUCAGGCCAGCAGAGGCUGGUGGCCAAGGGAGAAGGGAAAGGCGUCUUUGGCUCCUCCCCCUACUUUCCACCCCCAAUUCAGCCUGGAGUCCUGAGCACCCAUCACUCUCUUCUCUCUCCCACUCUGGUCUUGGGCUGAAGGUGGUGGUGCCAACCAGUGUCUCCUCAGCUCUGCCCCAUUCCUGUCCACCUCUGUCUGAAGACAACAGUCAAGGUGAAAGCCUGGCCUUUGAGGAGAAAUAACUGUCCACACAUUUUCUGAUAGCACAGUCCUGAUCAGAUCAAUCUCCUCUCCCACAACCUUCAAGGACUCCCCACUACUUCAAGACCCAACUUCCUACGGACUUG
rnacentral:lncRNA from 1 species